GUUCAGAUCUACUUGGAUUUCCAAAGGACUUUGGAAGACUCGUCGCUGCCCCGUCUGGAUUGUUUGUGACUGGUCUACGUAAUUGCUUCUGAACUGCUGGCUUCUGCAGUUUGAUUCUAGCAUCACACGAACAAGCCUCACUAAUACAGAGAUACAUAAGGACAACCAACAACAGGACAUCAACAAAAGCGUCCUUUCACUCAUCUCCUGUUCAAAAAUCCACAUCCACCCUGUACAACACCACACUGAUAAGUAUCCAGAC
rnacentral:lncRNA from 1 species